CCUACGGGCGGCAGCAGUGGGGAAUAUUGCACAAUGGGGGAAACCCUGAUGCAGCGACGCCGCGUGAGUGAAGAAGUAAUUAGUUAUGUAAAGCUCUAUCAGCAGGGAAGAAAAUGACGGUACCUGAGUAAGAAGCCCCGGCUAACUACGUGCCAGCAGACGCGGUACUACGUAGGGGGCAAGCGUUAUCCGGAUUUACUGGGUGUAAAGGGAGCGUAGACGGCAUGUCAGGUCUGGAGUGAAAGGCGGGGGCUCAACCCCCGGACUGCACUUGAAACUGUACGGCUGGAGUGCAGUAGAGGUAAGUGGAAUUCCUGGUGUAGCGGUGAAAUGCGUAGAUAUUAGGAGGAACACCAGUUGCGAAGGCGGCUUACUGGACUGUAACUGACGUUGAUGCUCGAAAGCGUGGGUAGCAAACAGGAUUAGAUACCCUUGUAGUC
rnacentral:rRNA from 1 species